AAGAGUUUGUUAGUUACCAUGACGAAGAAAAGCUUAUACGAGCCGCUGAGCAGCAGUUCAACGGAGGCCACGAAUGGCAGAGGGCAGCCGUCGACGGCGGCGCACCUUGAUGACGACGGCGGCGACAGUGUUGUUCGGCACGUGCUGGUUAGUUUGAGCAUGUCUGCAUUCUUCGUGAUCUCGGCCGCACAUGUAUAGGACGCGGGGCAUCAUUGGUACAACGUGAUCAUCACCGCCAUCGUCUUCCUCUACUCCAUGGUCAUGAUCCAUCUGCUGCUGAUCAAAUGCUGGCAUCGGAACAAGAAGAGCGAACUUGAAUCAUGCCAAGUGAUUGCUAUCAGCACACCCACAGAUUGUAUGGCAUCAGUGUUGACGGUUGCUGCGAUGGGGAUGUUAUUAUCCCUUGGGGUCGUGCUCUUCGUCUUUCGCCCCGCCUGGUCUGACCUGGCGUUCAUUGCUCUCAUGGUCUCCUUAGGCUAGUUGUAAUGGGAGUAUCAUAGAUAGUA